AAAUUGAAGAGUUUGAUCAUGGCUCAGAUUGAACGCUGGCGGCAGGCCUAACACAUGCAAGUCGAACGGUAGCACAGAGAGCUUGCUCUCGGGUGACGAGUGGCGGACGGGUGAGUAAUGUCUGGGAAACUGCCUGAUGGAGGGGGAUAACUACUGGAAACGGUGGCUAAUACCGCAUAAUGUCGCAAGACCAAAGAGGGGGACCUUCGGGCCUCUUGCCAUCAGAUGUGCCCAGAUGGGAUUAGCUAGUUGGUGAGGUAACGGCUCACCAAGGCGACGAUCCCUAGCUGGUCUGAGAGGAUGACCAGCCACACUGGAACUGAGACACGGUCCAGACUCCUACGGGAGGCAGCAGUGGGGAAUAUUGCACAAUGGGCGCAAGCCUGAUGCAGCCAUGCCGCGUGUAUGAAGAAGGCCUUCGGGUUGUAAAGUACUUUCAGCGGGGAGGAAGGUGUUGUGGUUAAUAACCUCAGCAAUUGACGUUACCCGCAGAAGAAGCACCGGCUAACUCCGUGCCAGCAGCCGCGGUAAUACGGAGGGUGCAAGCGUUAAUCGGAAUUACUGGGCGUAAAGCGCACGCAGGCGGUCUGUCAAGUCGGAUGUGAAAUCCCCGGGCUCAACCUGGGAACUGCAUUCGAAACUGGCAGGCUUGAGUCUUGUAGAGGGGGGUAGAAUUCCAGGUGUAGCGGUGAAAUGCGUAGAGAUCUGGAGGAAUACCGGUGGCGAAGGCGGCCCCCUGGACAAAGACUGACGCUCAGGUGCGAAAGCGUGGGGAGCAAACAGGAUUAGAUACCCUGGUAGUCCACGCCGUAAACGAUGUCUACUUGGAGGUUGUGCCCUUGAGGCGUGGCUUCCGGAGCUAACGCGUUAAGUAGACCGCCUGGGGAGUACGGCCGCAAGGUUAAAACUCAAAUGAAUUGACGGGGGCCCGCACAAGCGGUGGAGCAUGUGGUUUAAUUCGAUGCAACGCGAAGAACCUUACCUGGUCUUGACAUCCACAGAACUUUCCAGAGAUGGAUUGGUGCCUUCGGGAACUGUGAGACAGGUGCUGCAUGGCUGUCGUCAGCUCGUGUUGUGAAAUGUUGGGUUAAGUCCCGCAACGAGCGCAACCCUUAUCCUUUGUUGCCAGCGGUUAGGCCGGGAACUCAAAGGAGACUGCCAGUGAUAAACUGGAGGAAGGUGGGGAUGACGUCAAGUCAUCAUGGCCCUUACGACCAGGGCUACACACGUGCUACAAUGGCGCAUACAAAGAGAAGCGACCUCGCGAGAGCAAGCGGACCUCAUAAAGUGCGUCGUAGUCCGGAUUGGAGUCUGCAACUCGACUCCAUGAAGUCGGAAUCGCUAGUAAUCGUGGAUCAGAAUGCCACGGUGAAUACGUUCCCGGGCCUUGUACACACCGCCCGUCACACCAUGGGAGUGGGUUGCAAAAGAAGUAGGUAGCUUAACCUUCGGGAGGGCGCUUACCACUUUGUGAUUCAUGACUGGGGUGAAGUCGUAACAAGGUAACCGUAGGGGAACCUGCGGUUGGAUCACCUCCUUA
rnacentral:rRNA from 1 species